rnacentral:rRNA from 1 species
UACGUAGGGGGCGAGCGUUAUCCGGAUUUAUUGGGCGUAAAGCGUGUGUAGGCGGUUUGUUAAGUCUAAAAUUAAAGCCUGGGGCUUAACCCCAGUUCGUUCUAGAAACUGGCUGACUUGAGUGUGGAAGAGGCAAGUGGAAUUUCUAGUGUAGCGGUUAAAUGCGUAGAUAUUAGAAGGAACACCAGUGGCGAAGGCGGCUUGCUGGGCCAUUACUGACGCUGAGACACGAGAGCGUGGGGAGCAAAUA